rnacentral:rRNA from 1 species
GAUGAACGCUGGCGGCGUGCCUAAUACAUGCAAGUCGAGCGAACGGACGAGAAGCUUGCUUCUCUGAUGUUAGCGGCGGACGGGUGAGUAACACGUGGAUAACCUACCUAUAAGACUGGGAUAACUUCGGGAAACCGGAGCUAAUACCGGAUAAUAUUUUGAACCGCAUGGUUCAAAAGUGAAAGGCGGUCUUGCUGUCACUUAUAGAUGGAUCCGCGCUGCAUUAGCUAGUUGGUAAGGUAACGGCUUACCAAGGCAACGAUGCAUAGCCGACCUGAGAGGGUGAUCGGCCACACUGGAACUGAGACACGGUCCAGACUCCUACGGGAGGCAGCAGUAGGGAAUCUUCCGCAAUGGGCGAAAGCCUGACGGAGCAACGCCGCGUGAGUGAUGAAGGUCUUCGGAUCGUAAAACUCUGUUAUUAGGGAAGAACAUAUGUGUAAGUAACUGUGCACAUCUUGACGGUACCUAAUCAGAAAGCCACGGAUAACUACGUG